UACGGGAGGCAGCAGUGGGGAAUAUUGCACAAUGGGCGAAAGCCUGAUGCAGCUAUGCCGCGUGUAUGAAGAAGGCCUUAGGGUUGUAAAGUACUUUCAUCGGGGAGGAAAAACAAAACUAAUAAUUUUAUUUCUUGACGUUACCCGAAAAAGAAGCACCGGCUAACUCCGUGCCAGCAGCCGCGGUAAUACGGAGGGUGCUAGCGUUAAUCAGAAUUACUGGGCAUAAAGAGCACGUAGGUGGUUUUUUAAGUCAGAUGUGAAAUCCCUGGGCUUAACCUAGGAACUGCAUUUUGAAACUGAAAUACUAGAGUAUCGUAGAGGGAGGUAGAAUUCUAGGUGUAGCGGUGAAAUGCGUAGAUAUCUGGAGGAAUACCUGUGGCGAAAGCGGCCUCCUAAACGAAUACUGACACUGAGGUGCGAAAGCGUGGGGAGCAAACAGGGAUUAGAUACC
rnacentral:rRNA from 1 species